rnacentral:lncRNA from 1 species
CAUAGGCAAGCGCGGCCACAUAGGCUAGACGCACUAUCUUCUCCUCUACCCCGCGCCGCCCUCCACCUCGGAGCGGGGACGUACGGUGGUGGCGGUGACACAAUGCGAGUGAGUGGAGCCUUUGGAAGGAAUUGGGCCAUGAGAAGAGCCCUCAUGAAUGGGAUUAGUUCCCUUAUAAGAAGAGACACCAAGGAAGUGAUCUUUCUCUGCCCUCUGCUAUGUGAAGACAAGGUCAUCUGCAGUUUUUUGUUGUUGUUGAUGAUCUUCCUGUCAUAGACAAUGCUGUAACAAACAGACUAAUUGUUCACUGUUGACAUAUAGAAGUACUACUGAUUGGCCAGACAUAGUGGCUCAUGCCUGGAAUCCCAGCACUUUGGGAGGCCAAGGCAGGUGGAUCACUUGAGCCCAGAAGUUUGAGACCAGCCUGGGCAACAUGAUGAAACCCCAUCUCUACAAAAUAAAUAGAAAAAUUAGCUGGGUAUGGUGGCAUGUGCCAGUAGUCCCAGCUACAUGGGAGCCUGAGGUGGGAGGACGACUUGAGCCCAGGAGGUGGAGGUUACAGUGAGCUGAGAUCAUGCCACUGCACUCCAGCCUGGGUGACAGAGUGGGACUCUGUCUAAAAAAAAAAUUGUAUUAUCUGUAAACGGAAAUAUAAAUAAUUUAACUUCUUCUUUUCCAAUUUGGAUUCCCUUUAUUUCUUUCACCUGUAUGAUUGCUUUAGCUAGAGCUUCCGGUAAUAUGUUGAAUAACAGUGAUGACCAGUGGGCAUCCUUGCUGUGUUCCAGAUCUUAGAGAAAAGACUUUCAGUUUUUUUCCCCAUUUAGUAUAUGAGCUGUGGACCUGUAAUAUAUGGCUUUUAUUAUGUUGAGGUAUGUUACUUCUAUACCUAGUUUUCUUAGGUUUUGUUUUUUUUUA